CAGCGCCACGAGUGGGAACCACGUUUAUUGGGCCUAAAGCGUCCGUAGCUGGUUUGGUAAAUUCUUUGUUAAAGCAUCGGGCUCAACUCGAUGACUGCAGGGAACACUGCCAGACUUGGAACCGGGAGGAGUCAGAGGUAUUCUCAGGGGCGCGGUAAAAUGCAUUAAUCCUGAGAGGACCGCCAAUGGCGAAGGCAUCUGACUAGAACGGGUUCGACAGUGAGGGACGAAGGCUAGGGGAGCGAACCGGAUUAGAUACCCGAGUAGUCC
rnacentral:rRNA from 1 species